rnacentral:rRNA from 1 species
CACGUAGGGUGCGAGCGUUGUCCGGAAUUAUUGGGCGUAAAGAGCUCGUAGGCGGCUUGUCACGUCGGGUGUGAAAGCCCGGGGCUUAACCCCGGGUCUGCAUUCGAUACGGGCUAGCUAGAGUGUGGUAGGGGAGAUCGGAAUUCCUGGUGUAGCGGUGAAAUGCGCAGAUAUCAGGAGGAACACCGGUGGCGAAGGCGGACCUCUGGGCCAUUACUGACGCUGAGGAGCGAAAGCGUGGGGAGCGAACAGG